rnacentral:rRNA from 1 species
AGGAGCGACCAUAUCAGCACUAAUGCACAGGAUUCCAUUAGAACACCGAAGUUAAGCGUCCUUGGGUGAGAAUAGUUUGAACAUGGGCUUGUCCUAUGACUUUCAUA